rnacentral:rRNA from 1 species
CCUACGGGAGGCAGCAGUGAGGAAUAUUGGUCAAUGGACGAGAGACUGAACCAGCCAAGUAGCGUGAAGGAUGACUGCACUAUGGGUUGUAAACUUCUUUUAUAUGGGAAUAAAGUGGUGGAUGUGUACGGCUUUGCAUGUACCUUAUGAAUAAGGAUCGGCUAACUCCGUGCCAGCAGCCGCGGUAAUACGGAGGAUUCGAGCGUUAUCCGGAUUUAUUGGGUUUAAAGGGAGCGUAGGUGGGUUGUUAAGUCAGUUGUGAAAGUUUGCGGCUCAACCGUAAAAUUGCAGUUGAAACUGGCAGCCUUGAGUACAGUAGAGGUAGGCGGAAUUCGUGGUGUAGCGGUGAAAUGCUUAGAUAUCACGAAGAACUCCGAUUGCGAAGGCAGCCUGCUGGACUGCAACUGACGCUGAGGCUCGAAAGUGUGGGUAUCAAACAGGAUUAGAUACCCGUGUAGUC